GGCCUUCGGGUUGUAAACUGCUUUUGUACGGAACGAAAAGGCCCUGGUGAACAACCGGGGUUGCUGACGGCACCGUAAGAAUAAGCACCGACUAACUACGUGCCAGCAGCCGCGGUAAUACGUAGGGUGCGAGCGUUAAUCGGAAUUACUGGGCGUAAAGCGUGCGCAGGCGGACAUGCAAGACAGAUGUGAAAUCCCCGGGCUCAACCUGGGAACUGCAUAUGUGACUGUAUGACUGGAGUACGGCAGAGGGGGAUGGAAUUCCGCGUGUAGCAGUGAAAUGCGUAGAUAUGCCGGAGGAACACCGAUGGCGAAGGCAAUCCCCUGGGCCAGUACUGACGCUCAUGCACGAAAGCGUGGGGAGCAAACAGGAUUAGAUACCCUGGUAGUCC
rnacentral:rRNA from 1 species